GUAAGUAUAGUUUAAACAAAACAUUAGAAUGUGAACCUAAAAACAGGAUACUAACCAAUCCUUCCUUACC